rnacentral:rRNA from 1 species
AUACAUGCAAGUUGAGCGAUGAAGAUUGGUGCUUGCACCAAUUUGAAGAGCAGCGAACGGGUGAGUAACGCGUGGGGAAUCUGCCUUUGAGCGGGGGACAACAUUUGGAAACGAAUGCUAAUACCGCAUAACAACUUUAAACAUAAGUUUUAAGUUUGAAAGAUGCAAUUGCAUCACUCAAAGAUGAUCCCGCGUUGUAUUAGCUAGUUGGUGAGGUAAAGGCUCACCAAGGCGAUGAUACAUAGCCGACCUGAGAGGGUGAUCGGCCACAUUGGGACUGAGACACGGCCCAAACUCCUACGGGAGGCAGCAGUAGGGAAUCUUCGGCAAUGGACGAAAGUCUGACCGAGCAACGCCGCGUGAGUGAAGAAGGUUUUCGGAUCGUAAAACUCUGUUGGUAGAGAAGAACGUUGGUGAGAGUGGAAAGCUCAUCAAGUGACGGUAACUACCCAGAAAGGGACGGCUAACUACGUGCCAGCAGCCGCGGUAAUACGUAGGUCCCGAGCGUUGUCCGGAUUUAUUGGGCGUAAAGCGAGCGCAGGUGGUUUAUUAAGUCUGGUGUAAAAGGCAGUGGCUCAACCAUUGUAUGCAUUGGAAACUGGUAGACUUGAGUGCAGGAGAGGAGAGUGGAAUUCCAUGUGUAGCGGUGAAAUGCGUAGAUAUAUGGAGGAACACCGGUGGCGAAAGCGGCUCUCUGGCCUGUAACUGACACUGAGGCUCGAAAGC